GAUGAACGCUAGCGGCAGGCUUAAUACAUGCAAGUCGAGGGGCAGCGCAGUGUAGCAAUACAUGGGCGGCGACCGGCAAACGGGUGCGGAACACGUACGCAACCUUCCUUUAAGUGGGGGAUAGCCCAGGGAAACUUGGAUUAAUACCCCGUAAUAUUAUGAAGUGGCAUCACUUUAUACUUAUAGCUCCGGCGCUUAAAGAUGGGCGUGCGACUGAUUAGGUAGUUGGCGGGGUAACGGCCCACCAAGCCUGCGAUCAGUAACUGGUGUGGAGGCACGACCGGCCACACGGGCACUGAGACACGGGCCCGACUCCUACGGGAGGCAGCAGUAAGGAAUAUUGGUCAAUGGACGCAAGUCUGAACCAGCCAUGCCGCGUGGAGGAUGAAGGUCCUCUGGAUUGUAAACUUCUUUUAUUUGGGAAGAAACCCACUGUUUCUACGGUGGUUGACGGUACCAGAUGCAUAAGCACCGGCUAACUCCGUGCCAGCCGCCGCGGUAACAC
rnacentral:rRNA from 1 species